AGUGAACGCUGGCGGCAGGCCUAAUACAUGCAAGUCGAACGGCAGCACAGCAGAGCUUGCUCUGUGGGUGGCGAGUGGCGGACGGGUGAGGAAUACAUGGGAAUCUGCCCAGUCGUGGGGGAUAACGUAGGGAAACUUACGCUAAUACCGCAUGCGCCCUUCGGGGGAAAGCCGGGGACCUUCGGGCCUGGCGCCAUUAGAUGAGCCCGCGUCUGAUUAGCUAGUUGGUGAGGUAAUGGCUCACCAAGGCGACGAUCAGUAGCUGGUUUGAGAGAAUGACCAGCCACACUGGGACUGAGACACGGCCCAGACUCCUACGGGAGGCAGCAGUGGGGAAUCUUGGACAAGUGGGCGCAAGCCUGAUCCAGCCAUGCGCGUGAGUGACGAAGGCCUUAGGGUUGUAAAGCUCUUUUGGCGGGGACGAUAAUGACGGUACCCGCAGAAUAAGCCCCGGCUAACUUCGUGCCAGCAGCCGCGGUAAAGCUAACG
rnacentral:rRNA from 1 species